ensembl:misc_RNA
UGGUAGGAGGUGCUGGCUUGAGUUCCCUGGAGAUUGCAGAAGUGUUGCCUUUUUUUGGGAAUAACAGCAGUGCAGGCUUCCCACACUGCCCUGACAGUGUGCCUCUAUCCUGACACGAGGGAUUAAUUUUAAAGACUAAAGGGUAUUUUGGUCUCCUUGACCUUGCUAACAAAGGUGCUGAU